AUGUGGUCUCUGCGGCCGUUUGUAGAUGACGACAUAAUGCAUAAAGCUUGGAAUCUCGUUCCCGGACGCUGAGACCAUUCUAGCAAAGUGAGGACGUUGCCGUGCCCAACUUCCCCGUCUCUAUGGACCUACGGCAUGACUAGAGAUAUCAAAAUAUUCGCACACAGCUGUUGGGGUUAGAUUAUUAAUGUCUGAUUUUUUCGAACCUCUAAUUUUUGUUCGGUCGCUCAAAUCUAUAUUAAUUUUGUUGAAGAGAUAAAUUUUAAAAGUUGCAUGCAUCACUAUGAACUUAAACUUGAGAUCUUUGGCCUAUCACAAGAACGGUACACAUUCCAAAUUUAUAUAUUUUGCUAUGUUAUUAAGUAAUUUAUAGUCAUUUAAAAAAUUAAUUUAUUAGUNUUUUGUCAUUUGGGGUGAAUCUCAUUUAUAACCUUUCUUCAAUGCUAGAAUUGGACAAUAUGAUGAACUAGUGUCUACUGGUAGCCGGUUGGUUGUUAGCUUUCAGCAAGCACUUGGUGAGUGGAUCUGUCUGAGUUGCUUGUGCUUUCAAUUUAUUGUCUAUUAUGUUUUCAUUCACUCAUAUUGGGUGGAAUUAGUCACAUUGUUGGGUUUGAAAAUGUAAAUCUAUUCUAACUAUUUGCAACACUGCCAACACAAGUACAAUUCGAGAGUUGGAUAGCUUGAUUGUAAUCUUGCUAUAAUUGAUUGAUGAUUGUUGUUAGAUAAAUAUCAGCAGAAACAGUUAAUAGAUCUCCCUAUUAUCUGGCCAGGGUUCUUAGAGCGGGCUCCAAUUGAUAAGACGUCUACAUUGGUGGAACGCAUUAUCAAUGCUCAUGGAUCAAGAAGGGUGUUGUCUAUUUUGAAGCUGGAUGUGCCAACAGUCAUGACAGGGUACAAAAUGUGAGCAAGUGUAAGUCUGUUAAAAUUUCCAUCUGAUUUAGAGAAUAGGGGCCAAAUAUGGUUUGUCUAAGUUUAUGAGUUAAAGCUGGUAGAGUAUUGUACGCUAUUGCAUUUUGAACUUUUUUUUGUAUACAUGUUUAGGUGAGUUAAAUAAUGCAUCCAAUUUUAUCUAUCUAUUUAAUGUCUCAUAUGGAAACAGCUUCUCACAAUUCAGAUACCAUGAUCCUUCAUAUAUGUAUCUUUGUGGUUUUGUAUUUGAAUAAUUUGUUAUCAUAUCUUCUAUUAUAAGAUACGAUAGAAGUCUAGCACUACCUUCAAUCUCUCUCUAUAGGUCUUUUCAUAUGGAGUAUUACGCUAGCACUAAAUUUUUGAGAUUCUUAUGUGGUUACAAUUGGGGUAGACUUGUAUGUAUUACGGAUGAGCAAUGGAGACAUUCAUUCAAGGUUGCCCCAAUGAGAAAUGGUACUUUGCCUUUGACUGUAUGAUUGUAAUUGAUAGUCAUUCUUCGAAGGGAAUGGCAUUUCAUAUGGUAACAGAACUCCAGCUCUACUCUAUGCCAUUUCCAGUUUCUGUAAAUGCUAUCUUGUCCUGUUUCUGUUCAGUGUCGAUUGAGUGGUUAGGAUACACAUAACAAGUCACGAAGAACUCAUAAGAAGGUCCCUAUGGUUAUUCAUGCUUGUUCAUGAUCCAAUAUUUUUUUUUGAGACGGUUCAUGAUUCAAUAUUAUACCACUACUUUCAAUAGAAAAGAAUGCCAGAUAGGAGUACUAGAAAUCUUUUGAACUAUCUAUUUCCUUUUGUUUUCCCUUUGCUUCUUGUAGUUCAGAAAUGAGUCACUUUCCAAAGAAGAGGGAGGAUUGGAGCUCAAAUUACUGAAAUUCUGGGAUGACCAGGCUUAGGGAGGAAAUUCAACAUUAAUAUUUUGUUUAUAUGGGCAGUAUUGCCAAUGUUGCCGUUGCUCUAUUUUUUUGUAUUGCAACUCAAUCUUGUUGGUUCUGUUAUUUUCCUCAAUAAUUUGCAAAUUUCUUGCAGAAGUGCAUACAUGCCACGUUGGACUUCAAGACUAUACAAGUAAAGGUAGUUCUUUUUCAGAUUUUGCAAGGUUUAUUUAUAUUAUAUAAAUGUAAAAUAGCAAGAUUUCUCUUGGCAUUCGUCAUGAAAAAAAUGCAAACGCAAACGCAAACGCAAACAGUGAUAGUUUCUGGAAAGUCAUGUGGUUGGGAAUUCAUACAUGUUACUACAUUAUAGUUUCUUUUAGUUAUCUAUCAAUGCCUUAAAAACGCAAAAAACUGUACUUUUACCACAUCUAUGUCUAUUUUCUUGAAUCACAUGUUAGAGCAUAUAAUUCGUGCUGGGCUUUAUAGCUUGGUUGAUUAAUGACAAAUCGUUCCUUAAGUUGCAAUGUAUUAACUUACAGUUUUGAUCAUUGAAGCUUGUGGAUUUGAUGAAAUUUUAGAAUUAUAUCAUUAUAUGAAUCCAGAAUCAAUAACAAAGUGGUUUCAGAAUAUGAGUAUCGUCAGUCUGUAAAUAAGGGAUGCUAAUGUUAGAUGCCUUAGUUCUUUUGUUAAGUUGGACGUUAGGUUUCGUAAUAAUCAUAUUAUUUCUCGAAGUAAUCAAUCUGCAUAACUAUUCGCGGAGUGAUCUGUCGUUCCUCCCUUCCUUAUCUAAGUUGAGCGCCUUCAAUUAUUUAUUCCUUUUAUUUGUUCUGUAUUUCAGUAGCUCUGUUUUUUUUGUUGGGGGGGGGGGGUGAUUUUCCAAUUUUAGCUAAUCAUCGGAAUCUGAAUAUGAUGCUGCAGCUAAAGAAGUUGUCGAUGAACUUGAAUUCCUUCUGGGCAAUGCAGCAUCUGUUGUGCAAACUUCAAAGGCGAAAGGUGGAGACGAUAUUAGCUUUAACUCAGAUUCAUGUAUUACUUCUAGUCUGCAAACUGCAAAGGAGAAAGAUGAAGAUAUCAGUUGCAACUUAGAUUCGUGCAUUACUUCAAUUGACCAAGUAAAUCAUCUCUCUCUCCCCCCCCGCCCCUAGAUCAUGGUCUUAAAAGAUCUUCUCUACAGGAAAGACCUGAUGUUGCAGACUAUGCUAGCAUGAUGGCUAUUAUAUACAGCAUGGUGAAGCAAGACCACACAAUGCAGGUAGAAAUCACUUUCUUGCUGGCCACGACAAUCACGACAUGUUUCUUGACCCCGAGUGUGAAACCAUGUUUUGCAGGUCCGAAUAGUCUCCUCCCUUAACCACAAGUCUUCACAGGGAGAACUGGAGACCUAUUGCCAGAUGUGGUCUCUGCGGCCGUUUGUAGAUGACGACAUAAUGCAUAAAGCUUGGAAUCUCGUUCCCGGAUGCUGAGACCAUUCUAGCAAAGUGAGGACGUUGCCGUGCCCAACUUCCCCGUCUCUAUGGACCUACGGCAUGACUAGAGAUAUCAAAAUAUUCGCACACAGCUGUUGGGGUUAGAUUAUUAAUGUCUGAUUUUUUUCGAACCUCUAAUUUUUGUUCAGUCGCUCAAAUCUAUAUUAAUUUUGUUGAAGAGAUAAAUUUUAAAAGUUGCAUGC
rnacentral:lncRNA from 1 species